UACCAGCACCCCGAGUGGUCGGGACGAUUAUUGGGCCUAAAGCAUCCGUAGCCGGUCAUGCAAGUCUUCCGUUAAAUCCAGCCGCUCAACGGUUGGGCUGCGGAGGAUACUACGUGGCUAGGAGGCGGGAGAGGCAAGCGGUACUCAGUGGGUAGGGGUAAAAUCCUUUGAUCCAUUGAAGACCACCAGUGGCGAAGGCGACCUUCUGGACAGAUACUGACACUGAGGCACGAAAGCGUGGGGAGCAAACAGG
rnacentral:rRNA from 1 species